UUCUUAUCCUUUAAUUUUACCCACAACCAAAUAUUUAUCAUCAUGAAUCAUGUUGCGUUCCCUUUCUCCAACGUUCUUAUAUUUAUUUAAAGCCAUAUAUACCCUAUUGCCAAAAAUAACUUCUUACUAGAGUUUCCAUUUUGCUACCCAUCCAAGAUCAAAUAAGUCCAAAAUCAGUUCAGAAGAGGAAAUGGAAGCAGAAGCAACGCCAAACAAGGAUAUGAAGGUGGAGAUUAAUUCAUCGCCGGAGACUCCGUCAGAAAAUAUAUCGCCGACACUGGAGAAUUUUCCGAUGACGGGAGGAUUAGCAAGGCAAGGAAGUAUGACGAAGAACAGUUGUCUUUGCUCUCCAACGAUCCAUGCAGGUUCAUUCAGGUGCAGGCUUCAUCGUGCUCCGACUUCUAAUCCAAGUCUCCAGAGGACUAAAAAUAUUGAAUCAAAUCCUAAGGCUAAUCCCAAUGCUUAUAUAACUAGCUAGCAAUGGUAUUUCUAUAGUUCUAUCGGAGUCAUACUAAGAAGUACUGGAUUAUCAUAAUACUAGUAUUAUUGUUGAAUUUGUGGCCCAAUUGUUUUUUUUUUUUUUUAUGUAUGUUUAAUGUUGGUUGUAUUUCUUAUUUGUUGAUCUGUUAUUUGUGGUUUCACUCAGAUAUAGACACUGUAAAGAUUCGAGUUCAUAGAAUUAAUGAAAUGGCUUGGAGUAUGCAUGUAAAUGUAGAGAGCUUUUUCGUGUAUUGAAGAUAUUAAGGGAAAUUUA